UACGAAGGGGGCUAGCGUUGCUCGGAAUUACUGGGCGUAAAGGGCGCGUAGGCGGUCUGCCAAGUCAGGCGUGAAAUUCCUGGGCUUAACCUGGGGGCUGCGCUUGAGACUGGUGGGCUAGAGGACGGAAGAGGGUCGUGGAAUUCCCAGUGUAGAGGUGAAAUUCGUAGAUAUUGGGAAGAACACCGGUGGCGAAGGCGGCGACCUGGUCCGUUACUGACGCUGAGGCGCGACAGCGUGGGGAGCAAAC
rnacentral:rRNA from 1 species